CAUGUACAGGGCUGGAUAGGCCGGAUGCCAGCCCGAUAAAUGCCGAAUUACUAGUACAGUGUAUUGCAAAAAUUUACCCUGGGGAUUAAGCCUAUAGGACAAGGCGGUGCAACACUGCUAACGCGAAUGUAAGGAAAGCCUCGAUAAAGCCAUCGGCAUUGGUCCGCCGUAAGUGUUGCGCCUGUGGUAGUGACCAUAUUAGAGGUACCGAGAUCAGAGCCACCCUGUGGGCAUGAGCUUGGAAGCCUAGAAUUCGAGAAAAUAUCGAGGGAAAAUUCCCCAAUAUAUCACCCUGUCACGCGUUGUUAGCUAUGAUCUUAUUCAAACAAGUAACGGGAUUGGCGGCUGAAUCGCUCGAGUAUUUUGAUGUGUGGCUACCGCAUCCGGCCACAGGAAGAACCAUUCUAACAGACUGUGGUGGCUCCAACUAAAAGGUAUCCAUUCAUAAUAUUGAACAAAGCCCACGAGAUACUCGAACAUUGAAAGACAGUAUCUUGGGGACAAGGGAGUUGUGCAGCAUUGAAACUUUUUCGCUGGAGAAUAACACUGUGUUGAUGAACUAAACAAGAUAUCUCUGCAUGUGUUGCUGAGAUGCAACGGGGAGGCAUUACACCCACUCUAAAAUGUGAUGGCAUUAUUUUUCAAAACAUUGCUGCAAAUUUGGGGAGUGUUUCGUGCUGUUGAAAUGUGAGCAACUCAUAUUUGCCAUUAUUGUUCACCACUAUUUCAUUCCCCAUAAAUUUUGCAAGAUCAAUAAACACCAUAUAUAAUCCCGCUGCUAGCAGGAACGAACAUGUACACACAAUUAAUAAUAAACAUCAAGACGUGAAACCUGAACAGACUGGC
rnacentral:sRNA from 1 species